ACUAAGACUCAUCAGUUCAGCUUCUCAAAACGAGGUUCCCAUCUCAGCUCCUGGCGGUUCUGAUGCUCUGGGUCCCAGGAUCUAGUGGGGAUAUUGUGCUGACACAGACCCCACUGUCCCUGUCCAUCAGCCCCAGAGAGCCAGCCUCCAUCUCCUGCAGGGCCAGUCAGAGCCUCGUACACAGUAAUGGAAACACCUAUCUGUAUUGGUACCUGCAGAAGCCAGGCCAGUCCCCACAAGGCCUGAUCUACAGGGUUUCCAACUGUUUCACUGGGGUCCCAGACAGGUUCAGUGGCAGCGGGUCAGGGACAGAUUUCACCCU